GGCAAACGGGUGAGUAACACGUGGGUGACCUGCCUUCGAGCGGGGGAUAACGUCCCGAAAGGGACGCUAAUACCGCAUAACAUCCUGCCUUUGAAGAGGUGGAGAUCAAAGCCGGGGAUCGCAAGACCCGGCACUUGAAGAGGGGCCCGCGUCUGAUUAGCUAGUUGGUGGGGUAACGGCCUACCAAGGCAACGAUCAGUAUCCGGCCUGAGAGGGCGGACGGACACACUGGGACUGAGACACGGCCCAGACUCCUACGGGAGGCAGCAGUGGGGAAUUGUUCGCAAUGGGCGCAAGCCUGACGACGCAACGCCGCGUGGAGGAUGAAGGUCUUCGGAUUGUAAACUCCUGUUGCCCGGGACGAACGUCUCCGACCUAACACGUCGGAGAGUGACGGUACCGGGUGAGGAAGCCCCGGCUAACUCUGUGCCAGCAGCCGCGGUAAUACAGAGGGGGCAAGCGUUGUUCGGAAUUACUGGGCGUAAAGGGCGCGUAGGCGGCCUGCUAAGUCGAACGUGAAAUCCCCGGGCUCAACCCGGGAACUGCGUUCGAGACUGGUGGGCUUGAAUUCGGGAGAGGGAUGCGGAAUUCCAGGUGUAGCGGUGAAAUGCGUAGAUAUCUGGAGGAACACCGGUGGCGAAGGCGGCAUCCCGGACCGACAUUGACGCUGAGGCGCGAAAGCCAGGGGAGCAAACGGGAUUAGAUACCCCGGUAGUCC
rnacentral:rRNA from 1 species